rnacentral:rRNA from 1 species
GAUGAACGCUGGCGGCGUGCCUAAUACAUGCAAGUCGAGCGAACAGACGAGGAGCUUGCUCCUCUGACGUUAGCGGCGGACGGGUGAGUAACACGUGGAUAACCUACCUAUAAGACUGGGAUAACUUCGGGAAACCGGAGCUAAUACCGGAUAAUAUAUUGAACCGCAUGGUUCAAUAGUGAAAGACGGUUUUGCUGUCACUUAUAGAUGGAUCCGCGCCGCAUUAGCUAGUUGGUAGGGUAACGGCUUACCAAGGCGACGAUGCGUAGCCGACCUGAGAGGGUGAUCGGCCACACUGGAACUGAGACACGGACCAGACUCCUACGGGAGGCAGCAGUAGGGAAUCUUCCGCAAUGGGCGAAAGCCUGACGGAGCAACGCCGCGUGAGUGAUGAAGGUCUUCGGAUCGUAAAACUCUGUUAUUAGGGAAGAACAAAUGUGUAAGUAACUAUGCACGUCUUGACGGUACCUAAUCAGAAAGCCACGGCUAACUACGUG